GGGUCAAUGAUGAGAACUGAUCAUCGUGAAGACAAAUGGUGACAAAAAAAUCAUGUCCAAUAGGAUUAUGUUGAGGACU